rnacentral:rRNA from 1 species
AUUGAACGCUGGCGGCAUGCUUUACACAUGCAAGUCGGACGGCAGCACAGAGAAGCUUGCUUCUUGGGUGGCGAGUGGCGAACGGGUGAGUAAUAUAUCGGAACGUACCGAGUAAUGGGGGAUAACUAAUCGAAAGUUUAGCUAAUACCGCAUAUUCUCUGAGGAGGAAAGCAGGGGACCUUCGGGCCUUGCGUUAUUCGAGCGGCCGAUAUCUGAUUAGCUAGUUGGUGGGGUAAAGGCCUACCAAGGCGACGAUCAGUAGCGGGUCUGAGAGGAUGAUCCGCCACACUGGGACUGAGACACGGCCCAGACUCCUACGGGAGGCAGCAGUGGGGAAUUUUGGACAAUGGGCGCAAGCCUGAUCCAGCCAUGCCGCGUGUCUGAAGAAGGCCUUCGGGUUGUAAAGGACUUUUGUCAGGGAAGAAAAGGCUGUUGCUAAUAUCGACAGCUGAUGACGGUACCUGAAGAAUAAGCACCGGCUAACUACGUG